AGUUUGGUCCGAGUGCAGUGGUGUUUACAACUAAUUGAUCACAACCAGUUACAGAUUUCUUUGUUCCUUCUCCACUCCCACUGCUUCACUUGACCAGCCUUA
rnacentral:Y_RNA from 1 species